CCGUGUGACAAUCGACAUCACUUUGGGAACAUUUGAAAGCCCCUUCCUCUAGAGCUGCUUGCCUCUGGAAGAGAGUGCUCUGGAGCGUUCACUGGCAGAAGCUCUGGCCUGCGACUAAAUAGCUCCAGCUUGGUACGGGAAAACUGGGGAAUGAUACCAUUGUGUCCUGUGAAGAACAGGAUGGGCAUCCCUGCUCCUUCUUAUCUGCUGCCAAGGCCCGGAAGGUGGGAACAAAGGAGUUUCUGCUGAGAUCUCAGAGCCAGGAGCUGCUGCUCCAAGGAAAGCUGACUCAAUGACUUUGGAUUUGAGCUGUCACUCCAAAGACAGCUGACUCGACCACUUGUACUGUCAUUGAAAAGUCAUCAUCGUCAACGGAACAGCAACACCCAACGGCCCACUGCUGCUGAAGUUCAGUGACUGAAUUACGAUCCAUGCUGGAUCCAUGGUGGCUGCUGGACAGCAAAUGCGUUCUUGUGUAGUAGAAGUGUCCGACUUCUGUGCGCUACAGACCACGGCAACUUUUCCUAUAAGUCUACAUGUUACAGCUAACAAUCAGCCAUGAACCUUUGUUCUGCCUUAACAGAUUUGGCUAAAUAGAGGCCCAAGAAAUGUUGACUGAUUUACUGAGAGCUCAUUGGAAAGGAAUAGAGUACUGGAGAAGUGCUCUUUAAAACCUGUUUUCUCUUAGAAUGGGUGGAAGGAAAUUGAGGAUGUCUAUUGCCUACAGCAUGUAGUGACCAGCGGUGUGCUGAAGAAGGCAUGGUGGACUUUGAAUUAGGCUUUCAAUUGGAUGCCUCCCUGUUGUAUGUUGAAGGAAGUGUCAAACCAAGGAACAAGAAAAAAUGCAGACCUAAGAAGUGGGCAGCUUUUGCCCACCCACAGAAUGCCAUAUUGUUGCCAGACAAACUUCAGCCCAAAUAAAACUCCUUAACACCAAAAUAGUAUUAAGAAGGAGGCAUUAUGUUUUAUUACAACACUGGAUACAUGGGGGAUAUUUCCACCAAACAUGCACAUCAAUGGAAAAAAGGUACGUCGUUUAUAUACAUUUGGGUAAACCGUGUCUAUGUGUUUGGAGAGAGGUCUGCAGUCGUCUUGUCAUCUUGACCCCACCUCUUCCAGUCGCACACGCUUACUUAGUUAAGGAUAGGGCUAAUCUCCCUUCCAGCAGGCUAGAUAGAUAUGCUAAUUUUCUAAAUGCUCCUAAAAGACAAGAUUAACCAUUCUGACAACAGUAUCACUUUCGUUGUAUCUAAAUGGUGCAAUUAAAAAUGUAAAAUGCAGUUUAUGUGGAAAAGUCCUUGAUGUUUAAUAACUAAAUAUCUGCUUUCACAAAGUUAUCUUUUUCCCUCUGAUGUUAAUAACGGAAAUCUUUGAAUUCAGCUCAGUAUUAUGAGUCUCAGUAUCUUCACUCUGAUUGGAAAAAUUCCAUCCAGGUUUCUCUCUGAAGCUUUAGGCAGGGGCAGAGCAUUUCGUCACAUAAAGCAGCAGCUGACUAAGCAGCGUGUUUGCUGUGUUCUCACUUUUACUUUACACGAUUGUUGCUGUGCUGUCAAGGGAGGACGUGUCUGUGUAGGGUAUGAUCUGGCUCUUGGUGGGAAUCAAACUGGCCCUUAUAAGAGGCAGAGUGUGGAAAAAAUAAACCACAGUAUGAGAAACACUUGGAAGCCAAUAACUUAGGCUCAGGCAAGGACCUCAGUAACCAGUAUUUUAUUUCAUGAUUGCAAUGGUGAGUGUUCUGCAAGCAGAAGCACAUGCUGCAAGGAAAACUGAAUCUUAUUUCCUAGUUCCUGACACUGAGCCCCUCCCCUGGUUCUCACUGAGUACUCUGGUUCAUGUUCUUCCAAAUUCACAUACUGUUCACACAUCUCUUCUUUGUCAGGUAAGCAGUUAGUUAACAGAAAUCUGUCUCUGUAUCUCCAAGUAAGCAGAGUCCACAAAAUAUUUGCCACGCCAGCAUCUCCUGCCAUAUAUCUGCUGGAUAAGUUUUUCUUGUGCAGUUCUGGGUGAAGAUGCAUGUCUUAAAGACAUUACUUUUUGCUGCUCGCCCCCCUGUCAAUCCCUCCAAGGGCAAAGAGUCCAUAAAAUUGUCCAUAAAACAUGGCAUCCAGGCUCUCCCAGUAGCUCUGAAUAGAACGUUCUUUCAUAGCCUAGUGCUAUCCCUAUUCUUUAGCCACAGACAAAAAGUUAUCUUGUAUCAUGAGUUCUGAAGUAUGUUCCUUUGCUACAAGAUUCUAUUACUUAUGCAAAAACAGCAUUUCAUUCUAUUAGUUAUGCAAAAACAAGAUUUUGUCUCCCACAAAAAGAAAGAACAAUGAGUGUGAUGUGGAAAGUAAGCAGUAGCAUUGCCAAACAGCCCAAUUUAAUGUGACAUGGGAAAAACUCCCAUAAUUAAAGAAAUGUUCCUUGUGUUACUUUAGCAGAUCUCCUGCAUCCUGACAUUGUAAGAGUAUGUUUUUGUCUGUAUUUUUAUCCUACUACACUAAAUCACAGCUUUUUUUUUCUUUUUUUUUUUCUUGUUAUAAGUAAUGAAAUCUGUCUUUUAUGCUUGAUGAGUAUGAACAGGGGUGGAAAGAGGAAGUGUUCCAGCAAAGGCUGGGUAAAGGGUCUAAAGCACAAAGAACACCAGAGGGAAUGGAUGCAAAUCUGUGAAGUGUGGCUCCAAGCCUCGGAGUGAUCCAGUCAUGUAUUGAACAAGAGCUCUGCUAUUGGAAAUUUUCCAUGGAAAAACAAAUUGCUCUUUGGAACACAGAAGAGGAUUCAGUACCCAUUUGGCUGUCCAUCCAUUUAAAGAAACUAGUUGGAGGACCAGGCUCAGAGCGACAUCGUCAGAAGUUGGUUCUCUACUUGAAGAUUCCACUUACCUGAUGGAACAUUGCAGAUGAAGUGGAUGAUACAGUGGAUCUGUACUAAAUCUUCAGCUCAAGACGGAGGCCAGAAGCGAGUACAGUCUGUGCAAGGAAAUAUUCUCUUCAGCUAGUGCAAAUGAAGUCCCAGUAGAUGAACAUCAUGUUUGGAAUUGAUAUACACUUAUUGGGUAUGGGGAAAGGCUGAGGGAACUUGUAUUACCUCAAGUGGUGCUACAGUAGUCCAGGUCAGUAGCUCUGAAUGCCGAGGCUGUUGGACUGGCACUUCAAGGAAGAUUUUACAUUGGAAGCAAUAUGUAGAUCUGGAAGAUGGUAUUGUCCACUCUGCAUUGCACCAAAAAAGUCUUUUCUGCAGUAAGGCUAACAUACUGCAGUUUAAGAAGUCACUAUGUAGUAUCUAGAGGAGAAACAGAUCUGUGGAAAUGCAGUUUGGGAAUCAUUUCCAUAAACUUCAUUAAUCCUUUCCUUUGAAGUAGAAAUACUUCAAAUGGUAGUAAAUGUCCAUCCUUAAAGCAUUUUGCUGCUAGCAGCCAGCCUGUGGCUUCUUGAAAGUCAUUGCUGCAUGUGAAUAGAUGUGUGUUAAUAAUUUAAAGCAGGGGUUGAUAGUUCCAUAGGGAUAGCAAACAAGAAAGCAAAGCAAUGGCUUUGCAUGAGAGCCUGUUAUAACCCUGUAAGUGUUUUUCUAUAAAUAGCGUGUUGUUUCUCUCAGUCAUCUUUGAGAGCAAUAUUAAGUCCAGAAGUAUUGGUAGAUAAAAUCCUGACUUAUAAGAACUAUAAAUGCUGAGGUUUUUUUUCUAAAGAGAUGCUAGAAGGGGCAUAAUUAGUAAUUAGGAUUGUUUAAUGGUGGUCAUUGAUCUGGGAGAUAUGAGAGGUAAUGCAUUGUGAUGGAUACUUUGCAUGUUUUGAAUGGCACUAUGAGAAUCUAGCAUGGGAGAGGAAGCACAGCAGGAGUAUCAGCCUUUUUGCUGCAAGCUGACUUAUGUUCACGAUUUAGACACACUGCUGUUGCACCUGCAAGGACAAACAAGCAAGGUGUGAAUGGUAGAGUCAGUAUUCCCUAAGACACUAAUUACUGUAAUUUGGGAAAAAUAGAAAAAGGUUUGGUGAGACACGCUGUCCUUGAGGUUUUGAUGAGACAGAACCUCUAGACUGCUUUUUGCGUGUUGGGGGCAGUUUGGGUUGUAGUGAUCAUGAGAUGGUGGAGUUCAAGAUCCUAAGUGGAAGAAGCAAAGCAAU